AAAAGUAGCAGAAGAGGUUAGCACAAACCAAUCCUUAAUCGUUUCGGCACCACUUUUCCAAAAUUCAACGUUAAUAUGGAGGUAUAUAUAGCUAUUCCUGAUCAGAAACACUACAACCUAACGCAUUAUCAACAACGUUUCAAUUGGGAUUGCGGCAUUUCCUGCAUCAUCAUGAUCCUGUCGACAUCACAACGCGAAGUAUUAUUACACGAUUUUGACAAAAUAUGUGCGGAGGAAGGCUUUGGUUCAAGCACCUGGACAAUAGAUUUGUGCUUCCUGCUACAACGCUUCCAAGUGCGCCACGAAUACUACACAAAAACGCUUGGUAUCGAUCCAAGCUACAGUGAACAUAGUUACUAUACGAAAAUUAUCAAUAAGGACGAAAAACGCGUUACGCGCAAGUUUCAAGAAGCGCGUCUACAUGGGGUACGCGUCGAGCAACGUACAAUAGAUAUGGAACAGCUGCUGCAGCAUUUAGGUAGACGUGGGCCUGUGAUAUUAUUGACCAACGCAUCAUUACUGACGUGUGAAAUUUGUAAAAAGAAUGUAUUAGAGAAAUUCGGUUGUUUCCAACUCUCUUGUAUCGUUAACAAUACACGCACACCCCAAAGUUAUGCAGGACACUAUAUUGUACUAUGUGGUUAUGAUUUGAAAUCUCAAUUGGUUUUCUAUCACAACCCGGAAGUGCAGGACGAACACGUCUGUCGUUGCACUGUAGCGGCAAUGGAUGUAGCGCGGAAAGCUUAUGGAACAGAUGAGGAUGUCAUACUUAUUUUUCGGAAUUGAGGACAAUCAUUAACACUAAUACUUGUUAAAUUUAUUUACAGUUUCCGCUAUCAUAUUUAUUCAGAGGGACGUCUUGCUUUAAACAUUUAUUAUAUUGCUUACUUGUUACACAGCAUUUACAAUGUUUUAACCAACGCAUUUAUUUUUAACGGCUUAAAAGCAGUUUUGGUCUUUAAUGACUAGUUUUAUUGACUGUGUGUCCCUCUAGUAUUUUCUGCGUAAUGGUUUCUUGGCUUUGCUCAUUUGAAACAGCCAAAGUAGCAAAACAAUAACUCAUUUAACCUCCUGUUCAAGUAUUAGAAGCCUACCGAAGACACUUUCAACUUCAAUUUUACAGAAAGCGUAAAUUGUAUUUGUCAAGGGUGGCGAGCUAAAUAUUGUGAUAAAAUAAGUGCAAAUAAUGUGUAAUUGCUGAAACCAAGUAUGUGCGUGUUUAUAGUCUAAAAAGUUAAAAAAAAAGUAACGUCUUAAAGGGCAACACAGUAUAAAGAGUUGCAUAUUUUCAAAACAAAGUAAACAACAUAAUAUACAUUUAUAUAAUUAUAAAAAUAGAAAGGAAUGACAAGUUGCUAAUUUUAAAGCAUUUACUAUAAUUGGAAAACGCUCAAAAAAAAAAACUAAAAAAAAAUGUUAGGGAAUUUUAAUGCAACAUUAAAAAAUAACAAUUGUUGAAGUUAAUGAUAUAAAAAUUAUUUUGAUUGUGCCAAAAAAUGUGCAAAAUUUCAAAGCUCUUAACUUAAGUAAACAACGCAUUGGAUAACUAUUUAUUUUUAUUACAAACAAAUAUUUUAUUAUUUAUAUGUAUGUUGUUCUGCAUAGCAACGUAUUUUUCAAAAAUUUAUAAAUUAUCUGUUACCAGAUAUUUAAAGUAUUUUAAGCGGUAUUCAAUAUUUGUUAUUUUAUUCAUAACACAUUUUUAUGGUAACAAUUAUUAUUUAGAUAUUUGCAGUCUGCACGCUGCAUACAAUUGUACCUACGCAUUUGUACGAAAUCUCAUGCACUUACAUAUAUUUAAACAUAUAUUUGUAUGUCUUUAUCGUUUAAUAGUAUAAUUUAUAUCUUUAUUUUAAUACAUCCGUACUUCCAGCUAGAAAAGUAGAAACAUCGCGCAUACAAAAUUCUUUUAUUGUCGCGGUUAUAAAGUAUUUAUUGCAACAUUUAACCAGUGCGUAUGUAUUUAUUGUAUUAAAAAUUUCAGAAAAUAAUAUUUUUCGUAUAUUUUAAUAAAUAUAUAUAUGUAUACCUGUAUGUAUAUGAAAUUAUAUUUAAUUAUAGCUUACAUGCUUGGCUUUUGCACUAAAGUUGGUUAAUAAAUAAUUUACAUACUAAUAAAUGUGCGAUUAUGGCAAUAAAAA
rnacentral:misc_RNA from 1 species